GACGAACGCUGGCGGCGUGCUUAACACAUGCAAGUCGAACGGAAAGGCCCUGCUUUUGUGGGGUGCUCGAGUGGCGAACGGGUGAGUAACACGUGAGUAACCUGCCCUUGACUUUGGGAUAACUUCAGGAAACUGGGGCUAAUACCGGAUAGGAGCUCCUGCUGCAUGGUGGGGGUUGGAAAGUUUCGGUGGUUGGGGAUGGACUCGCGGCUUAUCAGCUUGUUGGUGGGGUAGUGGCUUACCAAGGCUUUGACGGGUAGCCGGCCUGAGAGGGUGACCGGCCACAUUGGGACUGAGAUACGGCCCAGACUCGUACGGGAGGCAGCAGUGGGGAAUAUUGCACAAUGGGCGGAAGCCUGAUGCAGCAACGCCGCGUGCGGGAUGACGGCCUUCGGGUUGUAAACCGCUUUCGCCUGUGACGAAGCGUGAGUGACGGUAAUGGGUAAAGAAGCACCGGCUAACUACGUG
rnacentral:rRNA from 1 species